rnacentral:tRNA from 1 species
AGUCCUGUAGCUCAGUGGUUAGAGCACUCGCUUCAUUAGCGAGAGGACCUGGGUUCGAUUCCCGGCAGGGCGA